CUGUGCUGUGUUGCAGGGUCACCUUCUCGAGGAUUUUCAAGACGAAAUCGACGGAGGCUUCUCUGGCGUACCAUACAACAUGACUGCUGCUCAGCUGCCUCUUACCAACAUGGAUGUAUUAUUAUAUCUCAGGAAGUACUUUUGCAUCGCUCGAAGUUUUGCUUCACAUUAGACAGUAUGGUUCUUUCCGGAACUUAUUUUAUUGAACAUGAUGUAUUUUCUCAUUAAAAAUUGCAUAUGUGAUGUAUUAUUCUAGUCAAAGAAUGAACUAUUUUUAUUCCCA